AGGACGAACGCUGGCGGCGUGCUUAACACAUGCAAGUCGAGCGAGGCCUUCCCUUCGGGGGAGUGCCCUAGCGGCGAACGGGUGAGUAACACGUGGGCAACCUGCCCCUAGCACUGGGAUAACUCCGGGAAACCGGGGCUAAUACCGGAUAUGACCUUUGAGGGCAUCCUCUUUGGUGUAAAGGAUUCUGACUAGGGAUGGGCCCGCGGCCUAUCAGCUUGUUGGUGGGGUAAUGGCCUACCAAGGCGACGACGGGUAGCCGGCCUGAGAGGGCGACCGGCCACACUGGGACUGAGACACGGCCCAGACUCCUACGGGAGGCAGCAGUGGGGAAUAUUGCACAAUGGGCGAAAGCCUGAUGCAGCGACGCCGCGUGAGGGAUGACGGCCUUCGGGUUGUAAACCUCUUUCAGUACCGACGAAGCGAAAGUGACGGUAGGUACAGAAGAAGCACCGGCCAACUACGUGCCAGCAGCCGC
rnacentral:rRNA from 1 species